GCCAUACAUACUUCAAAAAUUGUUAACAGAAUCGAACAUAAGUGAAGAGUAGUUAGUACAACACUAGUUGUUAUGGCAAGUUGUCAAAUAAAUUGUUUGCAAACUUUAGAAAAAUGUUUUAGUUGUAUUUAUGGGAAAACGCGUAUAAUUUUAACAAAACAUCAAUUUUGAGUAUAUUCGCAAUGUGCAGUUCAAUUAUACAAACUGAUAAGACUUUUAAUAAAUAUAUUAUGACAACAUAACCUAUAUUAUUAUCAGACAUGUAGAAAAAUUUAUAGGAAUUCAAUUAAACAUUAUUGUGUCUAUUGUGUGUGAGUGUUAGUUUUACAGUGCAGUGUGUGUGAUAAUAAAAUCAUCAGCAAAUACUAUAAUAAGAAAUAAUGGGUUUCAGAAGCACCUUCAGAUGACGCUGAUUUCCUCCGCUAUUAUCGACAUUACAAAAAACAUUAUCCAGAAAAGUUUCCCACUGAGAUUGAAGAAUCGGAAUCAUUCGAUCCCGUUGGACGUGUCAGUGAUUUAUUAAAUUUUCUUGUCCCUAAGAAGCAAUAGGUAUCGUUAUAUUUUGAUUCCUUAAGAUAUUAUCAUUUCCAGUGUAUUUAUUUGGCUUUGGCAAAUGAUUUUAUUGUACAGAUACAAGUACUAUUGUUAUAACAAUGCCCUUUCAUUUUCUAAUAAAUAAGUAUACAUAUUUAA